AUUGAACGCUGGCGGCAUGCCUAACACAUGCAAGUCGAACGGGGUGUAGCAAUACAUCUAGUGGCGGACGGGUGAGGAAUACAUAGGAAUUUGCCCUUAAGUGGGGGAUAGUCCGGGGAAACCUCGGUUUAAUACCGCAUGAUCUCGUGAGAGCAAAGCGAGGGGACCGCAAGGCCUUGCGUCUUUUGGAGAAGCCUAUGUCGGAUUAGCUAGUUGGUAGGGUAAUGGCCUACCAAGGCGACGAUCCGUAACUGGUCUGAGAGGAUGAUCAGUCACACCGGAACUGAGACACGGUCCGGACUCCUACGGGAGGCAGCAGGUGGGGAAUAUUGGACAAUGGGCGCAAGCCUGAUCCAGCAAUGCCGCGUGUGUGAAGAAGGCCUCGGUUGGUAAG
rnacentral:rRNA from 1 species